UACGAAGGGGGCUAGCGUUGUUCGGCAUCACUGGGCGUAAAGGGCGCGUAGGCGGCCGAUCAAGUCGGGGGUGAAAGCCUGUGGCUCAACCACAGAAUUGCCUUCGAUACUGUUUGGCUUGAGACCGGAAGAGGUAAGUGGAACUGCGAGUGUAGAGGUGAAAUUCGUAGAUAUUCGCAAGAACACCAGUGGCGAAGGCGGCUUACUGGUCCGGUUCUGACGCUGAGGCGCGAAAGCGUGGGGAGCAAACAGG
rnacentral:rRNA from 1 species